UGGUUGAAGGGCGGUUUAUUUAAGCUAACGCUGCUGCGCCCGCUGCUGCCACCUGCUGCUCCGUAAACCGCUCUUACAAACGAUGUCAACAUGGACGCCCUGGCUCUCACGGCAUUUCAGAAAUGAGUACACCUGCCGGAAAGUCCGCUCACACAUCUGUCUCUUGGCUAAGCGGAAGAAAAUGUGCUACCCUGACUCCAUUAGCAACAGCUGCACUCCGGGGCUGAACCGUAGCCGUUGACAGCUCGGGACCACAAACCUUUAGGAUGUAAUGUCUCACUUCGCUAACGAAACGAAGCUGUGAUCGAUGGCUCGAUCACAGCUUCGUUUCAGCAGGCUAAGAGAAGAUCUUGUUAAGAUUCAUUACUGGUGCUGCCCAUGGAGCCAAAAUCCCCCAGUUAACACCUCAGCAAUGAACAGAAGAUGAAAUGAUUCAUCACAGCAGAGACAGCUUCCGGGGAAUGAGAUGAGAUGAGAGUGGGAACGAUGUCAUCUUAUAUCUCUCAGAGAAAUACACAAAGGAAAGAUGAAUUGCAUCUGAUGGAGGCCGACGGUACGCCAACCCGGGCUGGCACCGAACCUGGCAGCGCCCCACCGGUGUGAUAGCGCUACGAUGUUGGUCCGGCACCUGUAAUUAAAGAAGCAAUACCCCCCUGAUGUUGCCCCGUCCUCUCUGCUUUACAGAGCCCGAGCUCAGACAAACUGAAGGUGCUGACUUAUUGUUCAGGAAGACAGUUUUCUCCCAGAGGGGGCCGGGUCAGCCGCUGUGCCGAGCCUGAGAGAAUGAAAAUGGAGGUGACAGGAUGUUGAUGAGGAGGCCCAAACCGUUAACUCCAACCUUCAUGUCGUGGAGUGCUCCACUCUGGCAGCCGAUAAUGAACCUGUGAGGCUGCGCUCUGCUAACCUGUCACCCACUCACCCAAUCAUUCAUUGCCAACCUCAUUUCCACCCCAGAGACAGUCAGAAACAGGCACACACACACACACACACACACACACAC